rnacentral:Y_RNA from 1 species
GGCUGGUCCCAGCGCAGUGAUGUUUACAACUGAUCACAACCAGUUACCGAUUUCUUUGUUCCUUCUCCACUCCCACUGCUUCACUUGACUAGUCUAAA